rnacentral:rRNA from 1 species
GGCGAACGCUGGCGGCGUGCUUAACACAUGCAAGUCGAACGGAAAGGCCCUGCUUUUGUGGGGUGCUCGAGUGGCGAACGGGUGAGUAACACGUGAGUAACCUGCCCUUGACUUUGGGAUAACUUCAGGAAACUGGGGCUAAUACCGGAUAGGAGCUCCUGCUGCAUGGUGGGGGUUGGAAAGUUUCGGCGGUUGGGGAUGGACUCGCGGCUUAUCAGCUUGUUGGUGGGGUAGUGGCUUACCAAGGCUUUGACGGGUAGCCGGCCUGAGAGGGUGACCGGCCACAUUGGGACUGAGAUACGGCCCAGACUCCUACGGGAGGCAGCAGUGGGGAAUAUUGCACAAUGGGCGGAAGCCUGAUGCAGCAACGCCGCGUGCGGGAUGACGGCCUUCGGGUUGUAAACCGCUUUCGCCUGUGACGAAGCGUGAGUGACGGUAAUGGGUAAAGAAGCACCGGCUAACUACGUGCCAGCAGCCGCGGUGAUACGUAGGGUGCGAGCGUUGUCCGGAUUUAUUGGGCGUAAAGGGCUCAUAGGUGGUUGAUCGCGUCGGAAGUGUAAUCUUGGGGCUUAACCCUGAGCGUGCUUUCGAUACGGGUUGACUUGAGGAAGGUAGGGGAGAAUGGAAUUCCUGGUGGAGCGGUGGAAUGCGCAGAUAUCAGGAGGAACACCAGUGGCGAAGGCGGUUCUCUGGGCCUUUCCUGACGCUGAGGAGCGAAAGCGUGGGGAGCGAACAGGCUUAGAUACCCUGGUAGUCCACGCUGUAAACGGUGGGUACUAGGUGUGGGGUCCAUUCCACGGGUUCCGUGCCGUAGCUAACGCUUUAAGUACCCCGCCUGGGGAGUACGGCCGCAAGGCUAAAACUCAAAGGAAUUGACGGGGCCCCGCACAAGCGGCGGAGCAUGCGGAUUAAUUCGAUGCAACGCGUAGAACCUUACCUGGGUUUGACAUGGAUCGGGAGUGCUCAGAGAUGGGUGUGCCUCUUUUGGGGUCGGUUCACAGGUGGUGCAUGGCUGUCGUCAGCUCGUGUCGUGAGAUGUUGGGUUAAGUCCCGCAACGAGCGCAACCCUUGUUCACUGUUGCCAGCACGUUAUGGUGGGGACUCAGUGGAGACCGCCGGGGUCAACUCGGAGGAAGGUGGGGAUGACGUCAAGUCAUCAUGCCCCUUAUGUCCAGGGCUUCACGCAUGCUACAAUGGCUGGUACAGAGAGUGGCGAGCCUGUGAGGGUGAGCGAAUCUCGGAAAGCCGGUCUCAGUUCGGAUUGGGGUCUGCAACUCGACCUCAUGAAGUCGGAGUCGCUAGUAAUCGCAGAUCAGCAACGCUGCGGUGAAUACGUUCCCGGGGCU